UACGGAGGGUGCAAGCGUUAUCCGGAUUCACUGGGCUUAAAGGGUGCGUAGGCGGGCAUUUAAGUCAGCGGUGAAAUACCUGAGCUUAACUUGGGAACUGCCAUUGAUACUAUUUGUCUUGAAUGUCGUGGAGGUUAGCGGAAUAUGUCAUGUAGCGGUGAAAUGCUUAGAUAUGACAUAGAACACCUAUUGCGAAGGCAGCUAACUACGCGAAUAUUGACGCUGAGGCACGAAAGCGUGGGGAUCAAACAGG
rnacentral:rRNA from 1 species